GCCGUACUUUCCAUUCGCUCUCGAGCUUAGGCAGCCAUGUGAUGAAGUUCUGUUCUUCCCUCACACCUGCUCAUCCUGGGGAUGGAAUAAGAUGCUUUCAGACGACGAUGCCUCGUGCAUCUUCAGCAAACUAGUCUUGGAAGGAUUUCGUGGAUGUGAUUUCUAAUGGAGGAUGUUCGUUUACAUCCAGAUGACCGGUUUUUCAGUGCCAUGGGGAGAGUCCAGGGAGAAUAGGCAGCUGGAGCUCGGAGUCGCCCGCAGGAGGAAGUGGAGGCAGUGCUGCCUCAUGAGGCUGAUGCAACAUGAGGGUCGGCAGACAAAUGAAGGAUGCUAGAAGAAUCAUGGGAAGGAUAUGAUCUGGAUACUUUUAUCUCACAUCAGUGAUGAUGAAAGUAACAUCAAUCAUAGUUCACAUAUCAUCAUACGAAGAUGGCUAAGAUGAUUCAAGCAAAGGGUAAAAUAUAUCAUAUAAAUCAAAUUUGCCUAUAUAAAUGUGUGUGUGUGUGUGUGUGUGUGUGUGUUUAUAUGUACUAUAUAUGUAUGUAUGUAUGUAUAAAUAUAUAUGACUGAACACAUGAACAUUUAGAAAACUUGUAUAUAUAUAUAUAUACUGUAUAUCUUCACGUGCAAUUUUCUUUUUAAAAAUGAAAGGUUUGGAGGAAUUGGAGAAAUGUGCAUUUAACAUAAUGCAUAUGCUUAUAUUUAAUGUUUUACAUUUGUAUGUAUUUUUAUGAUGAU